rnacentral:rRNA from 1 species
UUGGAGAGUUUGAUCCUGGCUCAGGAUGAACGCUGGCGGCGUGCCUAAUACAUGCAAGUCGAGCGAACAGAUAAGGAGCUUGCUCCUUUGACGUUAGCGGCGGACGGGUGAGUAACACGUGGGUAACCUACCUAUAAGACUGGGAUAACUUCGGGAAACCGGAGCUAAUACCGGAUAACAUUUGGAACCGCAUGGUUCUAAAGUGAAAGAUGGUUUUGCUAUCACUUAUAGAUGGACCCGCGCCGUAUUAGCUAGUUGGUAAGGUAACGGCUUACCAAGGCGAACGAUACGUAGCCGACCUGAGAGGGUGAUCGGCCACACUGGAACUGAGACACGGUCCAGACUCCUACGGGAGGCAGCAGUAGGGAAUCUUCCGCAAUGGGCGAAAGCCUGACGGAGCAACGCCGCGUGAGUGAUGAAGGGUUUCGGCUCGUAAAACUCUGUUAUUAGGAAAACAAGAUGUGUAAGUACUGUGCCACGUCUGCAGGUACUAACGAAAACCGAGUCAUACC